GGGGGGAUGUCCGAGUGGCUAAAGGAGUCGCGCUGUAAACGCGAUGGCACUGCCUACGCAGGUUCGAAUCCUGCUCCCCCCA
rnacentral:tRNA from 1 species